rnacentral:rRNA from 1 species
GAUGAACGCUGGCGGUAUGCCUUACACAUGCAAGUCGUACGAGAGUUUUUAACUCAAGUGGCGGACGGGUGAGUAACACGUAAGAAUUUGCCUUUAGGAGGGGGAUAACAACUGGAAACGGUUGCUAAUACCCCAUAUGCUUUCGAGUGAAAUGGAUUUCCGCCUAAAGAGAAGCUUGCGGCUGAUUAGCUUGUUGGUGAGGUAAUGGCUCACCAAGGCGACGAUCAGUAUCUGGUUUGAGAGGAUGAUCAGACACACUGGAACUGAGACACGGUCCAGACUCCUACGGGAGGCAGCAGUGGGGAAUUUUCCGCAAUGGGCGAAAGCCUGACGGAGCAAUACCGCGUGAGGGAUAACGGCCUAUGGGUUGUAAACCUCUUUUUUCAGGGAGGAAUCAAUGACGGU